UAAAGAGGGAAUUCAAGGGAACUUCGUUGAGAUUUGGAGCAUUUGGAGGGCGAUUCAAGAGGCAAGGCAUCGUGGGCUAGAGUUUGGACCGGUUAGAGAUCCACAUAUUUCUGAGCUCGGUCGCAGGUUCAUCGGAGUUAGCAAGGUUAUUGCCUGACGUUCGCAGCCCUGUCUCUCUCCUUCCUAUUCUAGUACUUUAUAUUUCAGACUUGUUUGUGUAUUGAGCAGAUAGUGUUGAGAGUACUUAGUGGCUCAUGACUAGUGACACCAGAUUCGGGCUGGGUCGAUGUAUUUACAUAGUUGAUUCCGCGUAUUUCUGUUGAUAUAUUAAAAAUGAAAGAUUUGAGACUCAA